CCCAGCUUGUCAUGCUAGAGCACUUUUUCAAUGGGCUGCCCAACGACAAGGCAACGAUGCAUUCGUAUGUCAUCCAUAUCAACUUUCGAUGCCACUUUCUGUGCCUACCAUGGUGACCACGGGUAACGGAGAAUCAGGGUUCGAUUCUGGAGAGGGAGCCUGAGAAACGGCUACCACAUGCAAGGAAGGCAACAGGUGCGCAAAUGUCCCACUCCCGACGCGGGAAGGUAGUGACG